GGAAUAUCUGUGGUUAGGGAUUAACGGGGCAUGUUGCCUAAAUAUCUCAUACCUAGGAAAAUUGUUGGAGGAAAUUGACAAAGAGGUAAAACAAAAUUGACAUCAGGGUUUAGCCAUUUUGCUUAUUGCCUGCUACUGCUAGGGUCUGUGGUCCUGCUUCGACCCAACCACGUAAGGAAGAAAUGGGAGCCCAUUUGGCUGUGGAAGGUUUAGACAAUCAGCAAUACAAGCAACAUGCUAACAUCUGGCCCCCUCUGCCUUCCUUCGUUGGGUAGAAGUCACUUUUCAACCCUUCUGGAAGACAGACAGCCCUUCAAUUUGGGUAGAAAUAUGACUUAUGCCAGAUAUAGAAAUAAACCAUCCUUGAAGACAUCCUUCAAUUAGGAAAGACUUCGACAAAAACUAUGAAGAUAUGCUGGACGUUGCUAUCCCUGAUAAAUGUAAGAUAAGAUCGACCAUCCAAGUUGGCAUAACACUUGUGAUGAGG
rnacentral:lncRNA from 1 species